GCGGGCUUGGCUCAGUGGUAGAGCAUCUCCUUGCCAAGGAGAAAGUCACGGGUUCGAAUCCCGUAGCCCGCUCCA
rnacentral:tRNA from 1 species